rnacentral:rRNA from 1 species
AACGCGUAUGCAAUCUGCCUUGUACUGAGGGAUAGCCCAGAGAAAUUUGGAUUAAUACCUCAUAGUGUUAUUGAGUGGCAUCAUUUAAUAACUAAAGUUCCAACGGUACAAGAUGAGCAUGCGUCCCAUUAGUUAGUUGGUAAGGUAACGGCUUACCAAGACAAUGAUGGGUAGGGGUCCUGAGAGGGAGAUCCCCCACACUGGUACUGAGACACGGACCAGACUCCUACGGGAGGCAGCAGUGAGGAAUAUUGGUCAAUGGGCGCAAGCCUGAACCAGCCAUGCCGCGUGCAGGAUGACGGUCCUAUGGAUUGUAAACUGCUUUUAUACGGGAAGAAACACUCCUACGUGUAGGAACUUGACGGUACCGUAAGAAUAAGGAUCGGCUAACUCCGUGCCAGCAGCCGCGGUAAUACGGAGGAUCCAAGCGUUAUCCGGAAUCAUUGGGUUUAAAGGGUCCGUAGGCGGUCUUAUAAGUCAGUGGUGAAAGCCCAUCGCUUAACGAUGGAACGGCCAUUGAUACUGUAGGACUUGAAUUACUUGGAAGUAACUAGAAUAUGUAGUGUAGCGGUGAAAUGCUUAGAUAUUACAUGG